CUUAUUGUUCUGUUUGCUUUUUACCUUCUGAACCAAAAUUGAGGAAGCUUCAUGGAUGACAUCCUGUCUCGUUACUAUUGCUGUCAGUCAACUUCGAUGGAUGAUUAGUACUACAUCUGGGAUUCUUUUCAUCCAGAGUUCUUCAUGAAACUUGUUCGAAAUCAUGUCUUCUAUUCUGUGCUCGAAAAUCAUAACAAUGCAACGGUUGGAUUGUUCUCAAUCAAGUUCAUCCUCGCAAUGGGUCAUGUUCCUACAGUGAUGUUUAGUUUAACCCAUGAGAUCUUCACCUCAAUCUUGCUCUGAAACUUACAAGAGUGCUAAUUGUUGGUCUUGUAGGUACUGUGCACAAGGAAUCAAGGAUUGAGGAGGACUUCAGGAUUGAGCUAGGUGUUGUGUAUUCACCUUAAAUCUUUCGGUAUAAUUACAUUCACAUAUUUAAUCACCUCUGUUUUAAUUGUCAUUGUUUCUUUGAGGUGACAGUUUGAUUGUAAUGACCUCAAUCUUUGCUUAGUUCCUUCCGUUAAUUUUUAUUUGGUGUACCAAGUGUUCGAGACCAACUUGAGUUUCAUGAGUCUUAUUUUGGAUUGUUCUAAAUUGAAAACUUCGUUAUUAUGUACUUUCACAAAAGUGA